UACGUAGGGGGCAAGCGUUGUCCGGAAUCAUUGGGCGUAAAGAGCGCGUAGGCGGUCCGGUAAGUCCGCUCUGAAAGUCCGGGGCUCAACCCCGGGAGGCGGGCGGAGACUGUCGGGCUAGAGUCCGGAAGAGGAGAGUGGAAUUCCUGGUGUAGCGGUGAAAUGCGUAGAUAUCAGGAGGAACACCUGUGGCGAAAGCGGCUCACUGGACCAUAACUGACGCUGAUGCACGAAAGCUAGGGGAGCAAACAGG
rnacentral:rRNA from 1 species